rnacentral:piRNA from 1 species
UCUGAACACUUUUCGAUUUUC